rnacentral:rRNA from 1 species
UACGAAGGGCGCUAGCGUUGUUCGGAAUCACUGGGCGUAAAGCGCACGUAGGCGGAUUUGCCAGUCAGGGGUGAAAUCCCGGGGCUCAACCUCGGAACUGCCUUUGAUACAGCAAGUCUUGAGUUCGAGAGAGGUGGGUGGAAUUCCUAGUGUAGAGGUGAAAUUCGUAGAUAUUAGGAAGAACACCGGUGGCGAAGGCGGCCCACUGGCUCGACACUGACGCUGAGGUGCGAAAGCGUGGGGAGCAAACAGG